rnacentral:tRNA from 1 species
GCCUUCGUGGUGUACUGGUCAGCAUGCUGGCUCGUGUUCCAGAGGUCCGUGGUUCGAGUCCCAGCGAAGGUG